UACGGAGGGUGCACGCGUUGUCCGGAUUUAUUGGGUUUAAAGGGUGCGUCGGCGGCUCAUUAAGUCAGCGGUGAAAGCCUCCUGCUCAACUGGAGAACUGCCAUUGAUACUGAUGAGCUUGAGUAUACUUGAGGUAGGCGGAAUUGACAGUGUAGCGGUGAAAUGCAUAGAUAUUGUCAAGAACACCAAUUGCGAAGGCAGCUUACUAAAUUAUAACUGACGCUGAGGCACGAAAGUGUGGGUAUCAAACAGG
rnacentral:rRNA from 1 species